AAGAAAGGGGGAAACGGGUCCGCUUCAGAAAAUGCAGAAAAAGGGAUUUCAAAAGGAGAAGAAGAAGAAGAUGAAAAAGGCUGGAACCAAACCUUGAGAAAUCUUAAAUACGCACUGGUGUUUACGGAGAUAACAGUUGAAGGGCGAGGAUUUCAUUAGUCAGACGCACAAGUUGAUAAUUUCUGAUUUGGAGCAUCCGAAGGUCGAUUCAUGCGGGCGAG